rnacentral:miRNA from 1 species
AAUUUGUUGUGAGAGAGAGAGAGAGAGAGAGAGAGAGAGAGCAACAGAUAUAGAGACAAGUGGGGGGAGGGGGGGCCUGUGCGAUGUGUUUUGGGGCGGGUGGGGUUGGGAUGUGGGAGAAAGAGAGAGAAAAGUCUCUUUUUUUUUUCUCUCUCUCUCUCUCUCUCUCUUUUUUCUUGAAAAUAG